rnacentral:rRNA from 1 species
GAGAGUGGGUAGUCCGCACGAGCGCACCCUAUUUUUAGUUGCUACCAUUUAGUUGGGCACUCUAAAAAAACUGCCAGUGAUAAGCUGGAGGAAGGCGGGGAUGACGUCAAGUCCUCAUGGCCCUUACGUGUUGGGCUACACACGUGCUACAAUGGUACUUACAGUGAGAAGCAAAGAGGCGACUCUAAGCCAAUCCCAAAAAGGUACCUCAGUUCGGAUUGUACUCUGCAACUCGAGUACAUGAAGCUGGAAUUACUAGUAAUCGCGGAUCAGCGCGCCGCGGUGAAUACGUUCCCGGGUCUUGUACACACCGCCCGUCACACCAUGGAAGCUGGGGGUACCUAAAGUCGGUAACCGAAAGGAACUGCCUAGGGUAAAACUGGUAACUGGGGCUAAGUCGUAACAAGGUAACCGUACCGGAAGGUGCGGCUGGAACACCUCCUUUCU